GUUCUUUAAAUGAUGAAUAUUCUUUUUUUUACAGUUAUCCCUGUCUUAAUCAAUCUAUGUUGAGAAUCGUAAACCUGAAAAGAAC
rnacentral:snoRNA from 1 species